UACGUAGGGGGCGAGCGUUGUCCUGAGUUACUGGGCGUAAAGGGCAUGCCGGCGGUCGGACGCGUUUCGGGUGACAGCGGGUGGCUUAACUACCCGAGUGGUCGAAAGACGGUUUGACUUGAGGACGCGAGAGGGACACGGAAUUCCGGGUGGAGUGGUGAAAUGCGUAGAGAUCCGGAGGAACACCGAAGGCGAAGGCAGUGUCCUGGCGCGUAACUGACGCUGAGGUGCGAAAGCCAGGGGAGCGAACGGG
rnacentral:rRNA from 1 species